rnacentral:rRNA from 1 species
GAGAGUUCAAGAGGGCGUGAAACCGCUUGGAAGCAAACAGAUGGACCUGACGGAGAGUCGCAGGGAUUCAGCCCACUGUCGUACCUCAGCCUGCUGCCUGAUCGUGAUGACAGGCUUGUGGAUCCUGGUGUGCCCAGUGGGUGCAUUUCCCUGUGAUGCGCAUCAGAGCCUGUGUCGGUGCUGGAUGUAUGGUGGGGCUUGCCGGCCAACCUUGUUGGUGUCCCAACCCUGCCUGAAACCGGGUUACUGGCACAGGGCUGAAGCAGUUGCCCGCGUGACUCCCCUGCGUUUUCCUGCCCGCGCUAUUAAACGGCAGUCUCAUGCUUGCAUGGCACAGCGACCUUGGCAUGGGUGGUGGGCGUAGUGGGAGUUUGGGUGGCCUUCUCUGGUGUUUUAGUCAGUGACCCAUCUGACCCGUCUUGAAACACGGACCAAGGAGUCUAACAUGUGCGCGAGUCACUGGGUUGCAACACCCAAAGGCGUAAUGAAAGUAAAGUCUGGUUCGGCUGGACGACAUGGGACCCUCUCCUCCGGGAGAGGUGCACCAUGGUCCCGUCUAUACUGCAUUGUCAGUUGGGCGGAGAUAGAGCGUACACGUUGGGACCCGAAAGAUGGU